rnacentral:rRNA from 1 species
CCUACGGGAGGCAGCAGUGGGGGAUAUUGCACAAUGGGGGAUACCCUGAUGCAGCGACGUCGCGUGAGUGAAGACGUAUCUCGGUAUGUAAAGCUCCAUCAGUAGGGGAGUAAAUGACAGUAUGUGUCCUAGAAUCCCCGUCUAACUACGUGCCAGCAGCGCUGGUAAUACGUAGGGGGCAAGCGUUAUCCGGAUUUACUGGGUGUAAAGGGAGCGUAGUCGGUUAUGUAAGUCUGUAGUGAAAGCCCGGGGCCCAAUCCCGGGACUGCUUUGGAAACUGUGUAACUGGAGUACAGGAGGGGCAGGCGGAAGUCGUGGUGUAGCGGUGAAAUGCGUAGAUAUCAGGAGGAACACCGACGGCGAAGGCAGCCUGCUGGACUGAAACUGACGUUGAGGCUCGAAAGCGUGGGGAGCAAACAGGAUUAGAUACCCUAGUAGUC